rnacentral:rRNA from 1 species
CUGACGAGUGGCGCACGGGUGCGUAACGCGUAUACAAUCUACCUUUUACAGUGGGAUAGCCUUUAGAAAUGAAGAUUAAUACCGCAUAGUAUGUUUAAAUGGCAUCAUUUAGAUAUUAAAGAUUUAUCGGUAAAAGAUGAGUAUGCGUUCUAUUAGCUAGAUGGUAAGGUAACGGCUUACCAUGGCAACGAUAGAUAGGGGCCCUGAGAGGGGGAUCCCCCACACUGGUACUGAGACACGGACCAGACUCCUACGGGAGGCAGCAGUGAGGAAUAUUGGACAAUGGGCGCAAGCCUGAUCCAGCCAUGCCGCGUGCAGGAAGACUGCCCUAUGGGUUGUAAACUGCUUUUAUACAGGAAGAAACACCCCCUCGUGAGGGGGCUUGACGGUACUGUAAGAAUAAGGAUCGGCUAACUCCGUGCCAGCAGCCGCGGUAAUACGGAGGAUCCAAGCGUUAUCCGGAAUCAUUGGGUUUAAAGGGUCCGUAGGUGGAUAAUUAAGUCAGAGGUGAAAGUCUGCAGCUCAACUGUAGAAUUGCCUUUGAUACUGGUUAUCUUGAGUCAUUAUGAAGUGGUUAGAAUAUGUAGUGUAGCGGUGAAAUGCAUAGAUAUUACAUAGAAUACCAAUUGCGAAGGCAGAUCACUAAUAAUGUACUG